rnacentral:snoRNA from 1 species
GGAAUGAUGACUUUUUGCUGCGCUGGAGAUCCUGACAGUUUGCAUUAGUCGAGGAGAGCUGACC